GACGAACGCUGGCGGCGUGCUUAACACAUGCAAGUCGAACGGAAAGGCCCUGCUUUUGUGGGGUGCUCGAGUGGCGAACGGGUGAGUAACACGUGAGUAACCUGCCCUUGACUUUGGGAUAACUUCAGGAAACUGGGGCUAAUACCGGAUAGGAGCUCCUGCUGCAUGGGGGGGGUUGGAAAGUUUCGGCGGUUGGGGAUGGACUCGCGGCUUAUCAGCUUGUUGGUGGGGUAGGGGCUUACCAAGGCUGUGACGGGUAGCCGGCCUGGGAGGGUGACCGGCCACAUUGGUACUGAGGUACGGCCCAGACUCCUACGGGAGGCAGUAGGGGGGAAUCUUGCGCAACGGGCGGAAGCCUGAUGCAGCAACGCCGCGUGCGGGAUGACGGCCUUCGGGGUGUAAACCGCUUUCGCCUGUGCCGAAGAGUGAGUGACGGUAACGGGUAAAGAAGCACCGGCUAACUACGUG
rnacentral:rRNA from 1 species